GUAAUAAUCCUGUAGUCGAAAAUGUUGUCUCUCUUGAGUGGAUCCUGAGUACGACGGAGCACGUGAAAUUCCGUCGGAAUCUGGGAGGACCAUCUCCUAAGGCUAAAUACUCUCUAGUGACCGAUAGUGAACCAGUACCGUGAGGGAAAGGUGAAAAGCACCCCGGAAGGGGAGUGAAAUAGAACCUGAAACCGUGUGCUUACAAGUAGUCAGAGCCCGUUAAUGGGUGAUGGCGUGCCUUUUGUAGAAUGAACCGGCGAGUUACGAUUUGAUGCAAGGUUAAGCAGUAAAUGUGGAGCCGUAGCGAAAGCGAGUCUGAAUAGGGCGUUUAGUAUUUGGUCGUAGACCCGAAACCAGGUGAUCUACCCUUGGUCAGGUUGAAGUUCAGGUAACACUGAAUGGAGGACCGAACCGACUUACGUUGAAAAGUGAGCGGAUGAACUGAGGGUAGCGGAGAAAUUCCAAUCGAACCUGGAGAUAGCUGGUUCUCUCCGAAAUAGCUUUAGGGCUAGCCUCAAGUGAUGAUUAUUGGAGGUAGAGCACUGUUUGGACGAGGGGCCCCUCUCGGGUUACCGAAUUCAGACAAACUCCGAAUGCCAAUUAAUUUAACUUGGGAGUCAGAACAUGGGUGAUAAGGUCCGUGUUCGAAAGGGAAACAGCCCAGACCACCAGCUAAGGUCCCAAAAUAUAUGUUAAGUGGAAAAGGAUGUGGCGUUGCCCAGACAACUAGGAUGUUGGCUUAGAAGCAGCCAUCAUUUAAAGAGUGCGUAAUAGCUCACUAGUCGAGUGACACUGCGCCGAAAAUGUACCGGGGCUAAACAUAUUACCGAAGCUGUGGAUUGUCCUUUGGACAAUGGUAGGAGAGCGUUCUAAGGGCGUUGAAGCAUGAUCGUAAGGACAUGUGGAGCGCUUAGAAGUGAGAAUGCCGGUGUGAGUAGCGAAAGACGGGUGAGAAUCCCGUCCACCGAUUGACUAAGGUUUCCAGAGGAAGGCUCGUCCGCUCUGGGUUAGUCGGGUCCUAAGCUGAGGCCGACAGGCGUAGGCGAUGGAUAACAGGUUGAUAUUCCUGUACCACCU
rnacentral:rRNA from 1 species